rnacentral:rRNA from 1 species
UCCCAAACUGGGAUUAGAUACCCCACUAUGCUUAGCCGUAAACACAAACAUUCCACAACAAAAAUAUUCGCCAGAGUACUACUAGCAACAGCUUAAAACUCAAAGGACUUGGCGGUGCUUUAAACCCACCUAGAGGAGCCUGUUCUAUAAUCGAUGAACCCCGCUAAACCUCACCACUUCUCGCUAAACCAGUCUAUAUACCGCCAUCUUCAGCAAAC